GCUGGAAUUGCUAGUAAUGGCAGGUCAGCAUACUGCCGUGAAUACGUUCCCCGGGCCUUGUACACACCGCCCGUCACACCAUGAGAGUUGGAAAUACCCGAAGCCUGUGAGCUAACUUUUAGAGGCAGCAGUCGAAGGUAGAGCCAAUGAUUGGGGUGAAGUCGUAACAAGGUAGC
rnacentral:rRNA from 1 species